rnacentral:rRNA from 1 species
GACGAACGCUGGCGGCGUGCUUAACACAUGCAAGUCGAACGGAAAGGCCUGCUUUCCCUUGUGGAUUGCGGGUACUCGAGUGGCGAACGGGUGAGUAACACGUGAGUGAUCUGCCCCCAACUUGGGUAUAAGCCUGGGAAACUGGGUCUAAUUCCCGAUAGGACUGCAGGGUGGUGCCUGUGGUGGAAAACGAUUUUCUAGUGGUUGGGGAUGAGCUCGCGGCCUAUCAGCUUGUUGGUGGGGUAAUGGCCUACCAAGGCGGCGACGGGUAGCCGGCCUGAGAGGGUGGACGGCAACAUUGGGACUGAGAUACGGCCCAGACUCCUACGGGAGGCAGCAGUGGGGAAUAUUGCACAAUGGGCGGAAGCCUGAUGCAGCGACGCCGCGUGGGGGAUGACGGCCUUCGGGUUGUAAACUCCUUUCGACCGCGAGGAAGCCACCUGGUUGGAAGGGUGGUGACGGUAGUGGGAGAAGAAGCACCGGCUAACUACGUG